GACAGAGGCCCCAAGCGUUAGGCGGAAUCACUGGGCUUAAAGCGUGUGUAGGCGGAUCGUUAAGUGUCUUGUGAAAUCCCACGGCUCACCCGUGGAACUGCUGGGCAUACUGGCGAUCUUGGGCCAACUAGGGGCAGCCGGAACAAGCGGUGGAGCGGUGAAAUGCGCAGAUAUCAGGAGGAACACCGAUGGCGAAGGCAGGUCUCUGGGCCACUACUGACGCUGAGAAGCGAAAGCAUGGGGAGCGAACAGG
rnacentral:rRNA from 1 species